GAACGCGAAGAACCUUACCUGGGUUUGACAUGCACGUGGUACGGAGAUGAAAGUCGAAGGACCCCGUAGAGAUACGGGGAGCGUGCACAGGUGCUGCAUGGCUGUCGUCAGCUCGUGUCGUGAGAUGUUGGGUUAAGUCCCGCAACGAGCGCAACCCUUAUACUUAGUUGCCAUCAUUAAGUUGGGCACUCUAAGUAGACUGCCGGAGACAAUUCGGAGGAAGGUGGGGAUGACGUCAAAUCAUCAUGCCCCUUAUGUUCUGGGCUACACACGUGCUACAAUGGGUAUAACAACGGGAAGCAAGCCAGUGAUGGUGAGCAAAUCCCUAAAAAAUACUCCCAGUUCAGAUUGUUCUCUGCAACUCGAGAACAUGAAGUCGGAGUUGCUAGUAAUCGCGAAUCAGCAUGUCGCGGUGAAUACGUUCCCGGGUCUUGUACACACCG
rnacentral:rRNA from 1 species